rnacentral:rRNA from 1 species
AUGCACACGCACCCUUGCUCGACUCCAUCAGAUCAGACGCUCGUUAUUCACGUAUACUCUCACACCAUCACACGUACGUACGACGGUACGAGUGCAUGCAGCUUAACAGUUGCAGGGGUUGCACUUGCAGUUGUCGCCGCAGCUGCAGCCCUCGCCGGACUGGCCGGCGGCCACCUCGAACUGACCUGCCUUGUUCUCAGGCGCCACGCCGAGGACGACCACGGCGGCGACCUGGGCGGCGGCACUGCCCUGCUCCGUCAGAUCAGGGUACACCUUCCUGCAACGGGCGAAGGCAACCGGUCGGCGAAUCAAAUCAAUCGUUCAUCACCACAAUAG